UUGGUUAUGCUAAUAAGAGCGUAUGGUGGAUGCCUUGGCACUAAGAGCCGAUGAAAGACGUGAUAAGCUGCGAUAAGCUUCGGGGAGGGGCAAAUACCCAUCGAUCCGGAGAUUUCUGAAUGGGGAAACCCACUGGAGCAGACCUCCAGUAUCCUUAACCCAAUCCAUAAGUUAAGGAAGGGAACCCGGUGAACUGAAACAUCUAAGUAGCCGGAGGAAGAGAAAACAACAUGUGAUUCCGGAAGUAGCGGCGAGCGAAACCGGAAGAGCCCAAACCAGGGUGCGUGCACCCUGGGGUUCGGACCGCAUAAUUGAUUCAUGGAAGAUAGCAGAACAGUUUUGGGAAAGCUGGCCAGAGAGGGUGAAAGCCCCGUAAGCAAAAUCCGACAUGACAUGGCGGUAUCCAGAGUACCACGAGACACGAGAAACCUUGUGGGAAGAAGCGGGGACCACCCCGUAAGGCUAAAUACUCCUUAGUGACCGAUAGCGCAUAGUACUGUGAAGGAAAGGUGAAAAGGACCCCGGGAGGGGAGUGAAAGAGAACCUGAAACCAUAUGUUUACAAACUGUGGGAGCACUUUAUAUGUGCAACCGCGUACUUUUUGUAGAACGGUCCGGCGAGUUACGCUGGCUGGCGAGGUUAAGGGCCGAAGGCCCGGAGCCGAAGGGAAACCAAGUCUGAAUAGGGCGAAUAUAGUCAGUCGGAGUAGACCCGAAACCGGGUGAUCUAUCCAUGUCCAGGUUGAAGUUGCCGUAAAAGGCAAUGGAGGACCGAACCCACAUCCGUUGAAAAGGGUGGGGAUGAGGUGUGGAUAGGGGAGAAAUUCCAAUCGAACCCGGAGAUAGCUGGUUCUCCUCGAAAUAGCUUUAGGGCUAGCCUCAUACUCAAGUCUUGCGGAGGUAGAGCACUGAAUUUCCUAGGGGGCGUCAAAGCUUACCAAAGAAUAUCAAACUCCGAAUGCCGUGUAGAUGAUGUAUGGGAGUCAGACUGUCCGAGAUAAGUUGGAUGGUCAAAAGGGAAAGAGCCCAGACCUACAGCUAAGGUCCCAAAAUGUGUGUUAAGUGGAAAAGGAUGUGGGAUUUCGAAGACAACUAGGAUGUUGGCUCAGAAGCAGCCAUCCAUUGAAAGAGUGCGUAAUAGCUCACUAGUCGAGAGGUCCUGCGCCGAAAAUGUCCGGGGCUGAAACACACUGCCGAAGCUUAGGAAUUGAUGAAUGUCAAUUGGUAGAGGAGCAUUCUUAACUGCGGCGAAGCUGUACCGUAAGGAGCAGUGGAGUGUUAAGAAGAGAGAAUGCCGGAAUGAGUAGCGAGAGGAAGGUGGGAAUCCUUCCGGCCGAAUAUCUAAGGUUUCCAGAGUAAAGCUGAUCUGCUCUGGGUAAGUCGGGGCCUAAGGCGAGGUCGAAAGACGUAGUCGAUGGACAACAGGUUGAAAUUCCUGUACUUUUAACUGACAGAACUGUGGGGACGCAGAGAGAAAGCGCAAGCCGGAAGUGGAAAAUCCGGUGCAAGCGGGGUAGGGGCAUAUCAGGCAAAUCCGGUAUGCAAUCCGAAGACGUGAUGCGGAGCGAACUAAAGUA
rnacentral:rRNA from 1 species